UUGUAUAGGCUAGUGUGUGCAGUCUGAGGUUUACUGGAAGCUAACGAGCGAGGGAUAAAUGUGCUGUGGAAUGAAGGCUCGCAUUUGACUUUUUGCGAUAAAAACCGGGAGUGCCGUUUAAAAACGCGCCGGCCGUCAGGCAUGUAAUGGGAAAUUGACUUGAAAGUGGGCUUGUCUCCACCACCAUCAUCUCCGCUACAGGCGGCUCUCUGUUUGCUCAGCUGAGAAUAACGCCCGUUUGUUUUGAAGAGCAUCAAGUAUUUCCUCGACCACGCGCUCUAGCCGGCGUUUGAGUGCUCUCUCGCCCUCUCUCCCGUACUGAAGCUACAUUGGGAGGAUUAGCCAAGCAGAAAGCAACGGACUCAAAGCCACCAUGGAUGCUUAUGUAAACUGACUCGUGAUGAAGCCCUGAACAGCUGGAACACUGCCAACAUGGGGACAGGAAAGACCCGGUCUGUAGGUGGACGUCCCUGGUGGUUCAGGACGCACACUGGCAUUAAGGGACUACACGUCUGUCUCAUCGUUCAUCAUGUCCGCCCACAUUUUGCAGUCCUCCUCCCCCAGUGCAGUGGCAGUACUGUGCAGGACCAGUGACUCUGGUGGGGCCGGAGCUGGGUCCACAGCACACUAAUGGCAAAACCUUCAUUAUUCAUUGUUAUUGUUGGAAAUGGGGCUCUUCACACAAUGGUAGGUCUGUCCCAUUAGUGUUAAUUAAAUAUAAAUAUAAAUGAAUAUUAAUUAAAUUAAAUAUAAAUGAGUGUCAUUGUUUCCACCAUGUGCACUGU